rnacentral:rRNA from 1 species
AGAGUUUGAUCCUGGCUCAGAAUUAACGCUGGCAGAGUGCAUAACACAUGCAAGUCGAGCGGUGCUUGCAGCGUAUCGCAAGCAUAGCGGCAGACGAGUGAGUAACACGUAAGCAACCUGCCCCCGAAAGGCGAAUAACGCCGCGAAAGCGGUGCUAAUAUGCCGUAUUAUCCCCUAGGGGCAUCCUUAGGGGAUGAGAGGCCCGCAAGGGCCGUUCGGGGUGGGGCUUGCGGCCCAUCAGCUAGUUGGUGAGGUAACGGCCCACCAAGGCUAUGACGGGUACCCGGCCUGAAAGGGCGAACGGGCACGAAGGCACUGAGACACGGGCCUUACUCCUACGGGAGGCAGCAGUGGGGAAUUUUGGACAAUGGGCGAAAGCCUGAUCCAGCAACUCUGCGUGAGGGACGAAGUCCUUCGGGAUGUAAACCUCUUUUGCCGGGGACGAAAGCCCGCAAGGGUUUGACGGUACUCGGCGAAUA